ACAGGACCUUUGGAAUCAUGCAAUAGUAGUAGCUGAAACAAGCAGAGCAGCUUGAGAUGAUUGCGUGGGAUUGUGAACAAUGUAUAUACUUACAUACGUUUCCAACUGUGACUUGUUGGGAAUGUCACACUCACAUGUCUAUCAUCAAACCUUCUAUAAUUCGUUUUUCUUUUGUUUCACUCAACUUCAUUUGUUUAAACUGCACAAAGACAAUGUUAGGCAUGAAAUAUUUAAUUUGUAGAAUUUUUUUCUUUUUAAUUUUUUUUUUAAAUACGAUAUUAGACCUCUUCUUGGUUUUUUGUUCUUAUUACAUUAAAGGAGUGUUGGAGGCGCAAGCACGACUAAAGCGACACCGUUUCGAGCAAGGCGUGAAGGAAGGUAUGUCACUGGUAGACUACGACGAUUCUUCAUCCGACGACGAUGUCUUACCCGCGGCGGAGCACAAGGCAGCUUUGCCACAACCACCGCAACAAAAACCCUCUCCCUCGAAAUCACGGAGGACUUUGAAUGAGAAGGAAGAAAGUGAGGGACUUCCUCAGCUACCAGAUGCUUUGCUUCUUCUGGAGUCACCAACGCUUACACAUGCGAGUGGCGGUGGUGACCAUGCUUCCGUUGUUGCAGCUGCAAUGCGAAAACGAGAGUUAAAUGGGAACUCUUCUUCUCUUCCUCGUCGUCCCAAGGUGCCAAGAGGAGCUUUGCCUCACUCCAAGAAUAUUCCAGACACUUCGGGUAACCUGCUUGUGCCUCCUCAGCUCAAAGGAAGGAGCAAUGUUGCCACAGAAGAUAUGAGCAGGCUUUUUGUGAAGAAACGGCAAGAGUCCUCCAAGGCAACAUCUCCUAAUCAGGAUUAGUUUUUUUUUUCAAUUUUGAUUUUUGAAUGCUACCUAUAGUGUGGUAUCCUAGUUGGUGUCUUUCGUUUAUUUAUAACAUGACUACUAUUGUCUUUCUUAUACUUGGUUUGAUGACAUGUAGUUCUAAAAUUUACAUUUAUCAUGGCUUGAUAUAGGACAAUAAUUUUUUUUUGUAAACAGUGUGGUUUAGCCUAAAAAUGUAAACAUCAAUCUUUUUUUAGAUUAAAAAAACCUCUGAAACA